CCUACGGGUGGCAGCAGUGAGGAAUAUUGGUCAAUGGGCGCGAGCCUGAACCAGCCAAGUAGCGUGAAGGCUGACUGCCCUACGGGUUGUAAGCUUCUUUUAUCAAGGAAUAAAGUUAUACACGUGUGCCUUUUUGUAUGUACGUUAUGAAUACGGAUAGGCUAACUCCGUGCCAGCAGCCGCGGUAAUACGGAGGAUCCGAGCGUUAUCCGGAUUUAUUGGGUUUAAAGGGAGCGUAGAUGGGUUGUUAAGUCAGUUGUGAAAGUUUGCGGCUCAACCGUAAAAUUGCAAUUGAUACUGGCAGCCUAGAGUACAGUGGAGGUAGGCGGAAUUCGUGGUGUAGCGGUGAAAUGCUUAGAUAUCACGAAGAACUCCGAUUGCGAAGGCAGCCUACUAAACUGCCACUGACAUUGAUGCUCGAAAGCGUGGGGAUCAAACAGGAUUAGAUACCCUAGUAGUC
rnacentral:rRNA from 1 species